GUGCUCACUUUGGCAGCACGUAUACUAAAAUUGGAAUGGUACAGAUGUUAGCAUGGCCCCUCCACAAGGAUGACAUGAAAAAUUGAGAAACGUUCCAUAUUUUA